rnacentral:lncRNA from 1 species
GUGGAGAUUUUCGUAUUAAUAGUCAAGAAUAAACAAGCUCGGUCAAUUACAAGAACUAAAGAUGUUCGUGUAAACAGUUCGUCUAAACAAGUAUCUUUCUAUUUUAUGGUCUGAGGUCGUCUGGGCCGAGCUCGUCUGGGCCGAGCUCGUCUGGUGGUCGAGGUCGUCCGAAACUUUGUCUGUGAUGAAGAGGCGAUGCUCUCCUUUUCUGUACUUUCUGUACUUUUCUGAACCUCCUUUCAAUGAGUCUGACGUCUUCUAUUUAUAGUGACGUACGUUUUGUCUUCUAGCGAAAUCACCAAUUGUUGCUUAAUGGGCCGGACCUGAUUUUGGGUUUAGCUCUUAAUGGGUCUGUGCUAAGCCCAUCUCCAACAAUUGUCCCCCCAUAGUUCGCCAAGUGUUGAAUCUUGGUGAAUUCUUCUAGAAUCUUCUGUCUGAGAAAAUCAGGGCAGGCUCAGGAAUUGUCGAGAAAUAGGGCAACACGUUUUUUUUUCUGCUAUAUAAGUGAUGGAUGGAUCUCUUAUUUUUUUUUAAAAACUUGUCUCCCAUUUGGAAGCAAAGUUAAAGAUUUUGCUCUCUCUUUUUAUUGUUUUGGUGUGGUCCUUGUUCUCUUUGUUUAUUAUUUUUAUAUAUAUAUAUUUUUUUUGGUUUCCUUCUUGCCGNNNNNNNNNNNNNNNNNNNNNNNNNNNNNNNNNNNNNNNNNNNNNNNNNNNNNNNNNNNNNNNNNNNNNNNNNNNNNNNNNNNNNNNNNNNNNNNNNNNNNNNNNNNNNNNNNNNNNNNNNNNNNNNNNNNNNNNNNNNNNNNNNNNNNNNNNNNNNNNNNNNNNNNNUUUUUUUUUACGGUUGACAGUGUUGAGCUCGCGGUUCUUCUCCUCCCUCCUUUUUUUUUACGGUUGACAGUGUUGAGCUCGCGGUCUGUGAUGUGGGAGAAGAGACCGAGCUCGAGAAGAGACCGAGCUCGAUUUGGAGGAGGAGCUGAGCUUGCGGUCUGUGGGAGAAGAGACCGAGCUCGAUUUGGUCGUGAAGGGUGAGCCGAGCUUGCGGUCUGUGGGAGAAGAGACCGAGAGAUUUGGUCGUGAAGGGAGAGCCGAGCUUGCGGUCUAUGGGAAAAGAGACCGAGCUCGAUUUGGUCGUGAGGGGUGAGCUGAGCUUGCGGUCUGUGGGAGAAGAGACCGAGAGAUUUGGUCGUGAAGGGUGAGCUGAGCUUUGUCUUGUGGUCGGCUUGUCUUUUGUACAAGCUUGUCUCUCCACCGGUUUGUUUAUUUGGUGAAGGUUCGUCGAUGGUGGCUGAGGUCGUCACUGGUGAAAGUUUGUCGACGGUGUCUUCGAGGUCGGCUCUUGGUGUUGCGAGCUCGUCGACCUUGGCUCCGAGCUCGCCGGUGAAGGUCCCGAGUUCGUCGACGGUAGCUCCGAGCUCGCCGGUGGAGAUCCCGAGCUCGUCGACGGUAGCUCCGAGCUUGCCGGUGGAGAUCUCGCGCACAUUUCCUGAUAUCCCGAGCUCGUCGAUGGUUGCUCCGAGGUCGGCUCCUGGUGUUGUGAGCUUGUCGUUGGUGGCUCUGCGGUCGGCUUCCGGUGUUGUGAGCACGUCGAUGGCAGUGCCGAGCUUGAUUUCGUCUGUUGUAUCAGAUUCUUUGUCAGUGAAAGAAUGUGGUCGAGAUGUGGAGGGUACGAGCUUGUCGCUUGCUAUGCCGAGCUCCACGGAGCCGUGUUGUGAUGAAGUGGGGUUCAGUUCGUUGGAUGGGGAGUUUGCUCGUGAGCAGCUGUCUUUGAUGGUUCGUAAGAUGGAGCUUGCUGAUGGUCGCAAGUCGUGGUCGGAGAUUGCUGAAUCUGUUAUUUUUGCUGAGGUAGGUACUCUUACGGGAAGCGAAGCAGAAGAUAGGGUAAGUGCGAGUUUGAUCGAGGAAGGGACCGAGUUUCUUUUUGAUGAGCACGGGACGAAUUUGGUGGCGGAGCCUGGUGUUGGAGGGUCGAGACCAUCUUUGAAAACGCCUCCUGUUGUCUUGAGUUCGUCAUCUUUGGUGAAGAAGACUAUGUUGGAAACUAUCCGGGAACAUGAGCAGAUGCAGUUGGCAAACUCCUUUCUAGCGAGAGAGUCGUCGUCGGAAACUACAAGUUCCUCUGACGGUAGUUCGUACUCGAGUUCUCAUAGUGAGGAAUCUGCGGAUGGUGCUGAUGUUGCUAAUGAAUCUGAUAACGUUGUUGGAGAUGAUGGACGAGAUGAUGACGUUGAAAACGUUGAUGUUGAAAAUGAUGGUGUUCUGGGAGGCGCCGGUGAUGAGCAGAAUGGGACCGGUGACGUUGAUGUUGAUGAGGAAAGUGAGCAAGACGAGUUUGCUAGUGACGGUGAUCGUGCCGCUGUUGGCGAUGAUGACGUGGGUGACCGAGAUGGUGUAGAUAGACGUAGUAAUUUUAGUGAUGAGCAUGAUGAUUUUAGUGAUGAGCAAAGCGGUGUUAGUGGUAGUCUAGAGAUCAUUGUUGUAGCUGAUGGGAGGGAUGAUGCCGACGGAAGUAGUGAUCGUCGAGCCGAUGUUACUGAUAUUUUGAGAAAAAUAAAACAAGAAAGCUUGGCUACUUCCCUUGCUGGUUCACUUGAUGCCUUUGGUGAUCCUUGUGAUUAUGUGAAGAAAAAGGUCAGGAAGGCGAGGGAAAGGCCUAGGAGUUUCAUAGGUCCUCUUGUUAGUCCUCCGGAUCCAUCGGAGUCAUUUCCUUCUAUUGUUAGUGAGGACACAGUUAAGUGGAUCUUAGCCAACUGUUGCCGUAAUGGAGUCAUAGAAGCGCGUAUCCCUGGCGAAGAUGAACGUCCGUGGACGGUUCCCGAUGGGUGGCUUUGUGUUUAUGACUUCUGGUUCACCGAGUAUCAUUUGUGGUUUCCCCUCCCGAGGUUGCUGCUGGCGUAUUGUGAUGAACAUCUUAUUGCACUCGCUCAGCUUACUCCUGCUGCGAUUCGAAACGUAUCAAGGUAAAAUUUUUGCUCUUCUUUUUAUUAUUUUUGUGUGGUCUUCUUUCAAAUUAUAAUUUUAGUUCGUGUGAUCGUCAAGGCCCUGCGUGGCUGCUGCUAUCUUUUAUUUUGCUGCUUUUUUUUAGACUUUGGUUGUUAUGAUUUGAUCAUGUUGAUCUCUUUCGGAUAUGGAUGGUGGUCUUCUUGUUGGUUUGGUUGUUAUGAUGGAUCAUGUUGGACUUCUUUUAUAUGAUGCUUGAAUUCUUCAUGUUUGUUUUUAGUCUUCUUUGCCCGGCUUUAAAUCGUUGAGAUGUCGUAGGGCUGGUGUUUUGAGAACGGAUCUCUAUAUAUUUUUUUAUUUUGCAAAUUUGAUUGAAGUGUGAGCGCGGAGCUGCAACACUGAGAACGGAUCUCGUAUUUUUAUUUUGCAAAUUUGAUUAAGUGUGAGCGCGGAGCUGCAGCACAGAGAACGAAUCUCGUAUUUCUAUUUUGCAAAUUUGAUUAAUUGUGAGCGCGAAGCUGCAGCACUGAGAACAGAUCUCGUAUUUCUAUUUUGUAAGUUUGAGCGCGGAGCUGCAGCACUUGAGAACAGAUCUCGUAUUUUUAUUUUGCAAAUAAAUUGAGUGUGAGCGCGGGCUGCAGCACUGAGAACGGAUCUCGUAUUUUUAUUUUGCAAAUAAAUUAAGUGUGAGCGCGGGGCUGCAGCACUGAGAACGGAUCUCGUAUUUUUUGUGAGUGGUGGUCGUAUCCUGAUAUUUGUUAAAAAUAUAUAAUUUUUUUAUAGAACUAGCUGAGCCUCGUGAGAGGUUGCCUACGUACCCCACAGGCGGGGAUCAAGCCGACCGUAGUUCCACCUUUACGAGGAAAAUAAAUGCUUGAAUUGAAAAAGGGUGGAUCCUCCUGGAGUCUUAUUUUUGGUACAUCAGGGGCGCGCCGGUCUUUGUAGAUUUCUUUAGUAGUAAAAUCGCUUGAGAUUCAAGGAAUUCCAUGAUCUCGGAACUUUUUCCCCGCUCAUUUCGGUGAGUUCAUAGACACCUGGUUUGAUGAUUUUCGAAAUCAUGUAUGGGCCUUCCCAGUUCGCACCGAGCUUUCCUGCUUUCCACUCGCGAGUGUUUUCGAAGACUUUGCGAUCGUCGUGUGGCUGAGCGUGCUGGUGCUGUGUCUUCGGAUGUGAGGCAUGAGGGUCAAGUUCCUUCCCGCCCGUAGUUUAGUUCGUGUGAUCGUCAAGGCCCUGCGUGGCUGCUGCUAUCUUUUAUUUUGCUGCUUUUUUUGAGACUUUGGUUGUUAUGAUUUGAUCAUGUUGAUCUCUUUCGGAUAUGGAUGGUGGUCUUCUUGUUGGUUUGGUUGUUAUGAUGGAUCAUGUUGGACUUCUUUUAUAUGAUGCUUGAAUUCUUCAUGUUUGUUUUUAGUCUUCUUUGCCCGGCUUUAAAUCGUUGAGAUGUCGUAGGGCUGGUGUUUUGAGAACGGAUCUCUAUAUAUUUUUUUAUUUUGCAAAUUUGAUUGAAGUGUGAGCGCGGAGCUGCAACACUGAGAACGGAUCUCGUAUUUUUAUUUUGCAAAUUUGAUUAAGUGUGAGCGCGGAGCUGCAGCACAGAGAACGAAUCUCGUAUUUCUAUUUUGCAAAUUUGAUUAAUUGUGAGCGCGAAGCUGCAGCACUGAGAACAGAUCUCGUAUUUCUAUUUUGUAAGUUUGAGCGCGGAGCUGCAGCACUUGAGAACAGAUCUCGUAUUUUUAUUUUGCAAAUAAAUUGAGUGUGAGCGCGGGCUGCAGCACUGAGAACGGAUCUCGUAUUUUUAUUUUGCAAAUAAAUUAAGUGUGAGCGCGGGGCUGCAGCACUGAGAACGGAUCUCGUAUUUUUUGUGAGUGGUGGUCGUAUCCUGAUAUUUGUUAAAAAUAUAUAAUUUUUUUAUAGAACUAGCUGAGCCUCGUGAGAGGUUGCCUACGUACCCCACAGGCGGGGAUCAAGCCGACCGUAGUUCCACCUUUACGAGGAAAAUAAAUGCUUGAAUUGAAAAAGGGUGGAUCCUCCUGGAGUCUUAUUUUUGGUACAUCAGGGGCGCGCCGGUCUUCAUUAAGUGUGAGCGCGGAGCUGCAGCACAGAGAACGAAUCUCGUAUUUCUAUUUUGCAAAUUUGAUUAAUUGUGAGCGCGAAGCUGCAGCACUGAGAACAGAUCUCGUAUUUCUAUUUUGUAAGUUUGAGCGCGGAGCUGCAGCACUUGAGAACAGAUCUCAUAUUUUUAUUUUGCAAAUAAAUUGAGUGUGAGCGCGGGCUGCAGCACUGAGAACGGAUCUCGUAUUUUUAUUUUGCAAAUAAAUUAAGUGUGAGCGCGGGGCUGCAGCACUGAGAGGAACAGCAACUUCUUCUUCAGGUGUAGGUUCGUCUAUCUCAUUGGUGCCGUCCAUCUCUUCGUCGAGGUCAUCUAUGACGUUAACUCCCAUAGCUAACUCGAUACUUGGUUUAUCGAUGCUUUCCACUGGAAUCAUUCUUCUGAGCGAAGGAUCAGAGGUUGAUGCUAAGGCGGCAAGAGCGUCAGCAGAGGAAUUGUCGCUACGAGGAAUCUUGGUGAGGGUGAAGUUGGUGAAAUCUUGGGAAAGUUUUUGGACGACUUGUAAGUAAGCAUUCUUCCCUGGGGGUUCCUUGGUGUAGAUUUACUUAAUCUGAUUUUCCAUAAAGCGCAGAAACUUUCGAAGGUUGCUGAGAUGAAUUGAGAGCCGUUAUCGGUGACGAUUUCGUAUGGGAGACCGUGGCGGCAGAUGAUGUUUUUCCAAACAAAUUUCUGAACGUCAGGGGCGCGGAUGGUUGCGUAUGAUUCGGCCUUGACCCAUUUAGUGAAGUAAUCUGUCAUGACAAGGAGAUAGCGCUUCUGUUUGGAUGGUGGCAUUGGACCAACAAUGUCCAUUGCCCAUCUCAUGAAUGGAUAUGGUGAUGUAGUGGUUGAGAGGAGAUCCGUUGGUAGGUGAAUCAUAGGGGCGUGGCGCUGGCACUUCUCGCACUUAGAUACAAAUUUUUCGCAAUCUGUGACCAUUGUCGGCCAGAAAUGUUCGUGUCGCUUGAUUUUUAUGGCUAGGGCUCGUCCACCUGAAUGAUUACCACCCGCACCUUCGUGUGUCUCUUCGAGGACCCAUCUGACUUCUUGACCAUGUAUGCACCGCAGUAAUGCUUUGGUCGAGCUCCAUCUGAAGAGGGCGUUGUCGUACAUGACAUAAUGUGCGCAUCGAGCCUUCAAGCGUCGUGCAGCCCAGCGGUUGUCUGGUGUUGUUCCCUCGGUAAUGUAGAGUUUUAUUUCGUCGCGCCAAUCGAUAGGAACAGCAACUUCUUCUUCAGGUGUAGGUUCGUCUAUCUCAUUGGUGCCGUCCAUCUCUUCGUCGAGGUCAUCUAUGACGUUAACUCCCAUAGCUAACUCGAUACUUGGUUUAUCGAUGCUUUCCACUGGAAUCAUUCUUCUGAGCGAAGGAUCAGAGGUUGAUGCUAGGGCGGCAAGAGCGUCAACAGAGGAAUUGUCGCUACGAGGAAUCUUGGUGAGGGUGAAGUUGGUGAAAUCUUGGGAAAGUUUUUGGACGACUUGUAAGUAAGCAUUCAUUUGGUCGUUUCUUGUUUCGUAUUCGCCGCUGAAUUGAUUGGUGACAAGCUGAGAGUCGCAGAAAGUUUCUAUCUUGUUCACACCAACCGCCUUUGCAAGAUGGAGACCAGCGAUGAGAGCUUCGUAUUCAGCUUCGUUAUUGGAGGCCGGGAAAGCGAGGUGAAAGGACUGCUCGAUGAUUUCGCUGGUAGGAUAUAUGAGUCGUAUUCCAACACCUGAUCCGUUUCGUGAAGAUGAACCGUCGACGUAGAGACACCAAUUCUUGGUGUUUAGAUCAUUGUCGUAUUCGGAUGGAGGUAGCUCGGUCAGAAAAUCUGCUAAUACCUGAGACUUUGCGCUCGUUCUGCUUUUGAAUUCGAUGUCGUAUUCGCUGAGCUCGACUGCCCAUUUGGCCAUUCGUCCAGAUUGACUUGGGCUGUGGAGUAUCAAUCGAAGCGGAUGGUUAGUCAGGACGUGGAUUGUGUGAGAUUGAAAAUACGGCCUGAGCUUGCGAGCUGCGACAACUACGGCGUAGGCGAGUUUUUCGAGUGGUGAGUAUCGUGUUUCAGCGUUGUCGAGAACCUUGCUGGUGUAGAAGAUUGGACGCUGCUCCCCACGGUCUUCGCGAACCAGAACACUGCUUACAGCGCAUGCGGAGACUGAUAUGUAUAAGUACAAUACUUCUCCGUCUUCGGGUUUGGCCAGAAUCGGUGGUGUGGAUAAAUAUUGCUUCAGCUGUUGAAAGGCUUCUUCGCAUUUCGCGUCCCACUCGAAACGUUUGUUGUGUCGUAGAAGUUGGUAGAAAGGGAGGCAUUUGUCUGUCGAGCGCGAGAUGAAUCGGUUGAGUGCAGCGAUGCGUCCUGUCAAUCGUUGGACUUCUCUCGUGUUUUUUGGAGAUGGGAGUUCCGCAAUGGAUGUGAUUUUUCGUGGAUUUGCUUCGAUUCCUCUCUUGGUGACAAUAUAUCCGAGAAAUUCUCCGGAUGUGACGGCGAAAGUGCAUUUGGUCGGAUUGAGCUUCAUAUUGUAUUUGUUGAGGCUUUCAAAACAAGUCGUUAAAUGUUUGAUGUGGUCGUUGGCAGUGAGGGAUUUGACGAGCAUGUCGUCGAUGUAAACUUCCAUGGUGUCGCCGAGCUGUUCGGCAAACAUUCGGUUCACUAAGCGUUGAUAGGUUGCACCGGCAUUCUUGAGUCCAAAGGGCAUGACUUUGUAACAGUAUGUUCCUCGAUCGGUGAUGAACGCGGUUUUUUCCCUAUCAUCUGGAUGCAUCAUAAUUUGAUUGUAUCCUGAAAAGGCAUCCAUGAAAGAUAGGAGCUCGUUCCCUGCAGUUGCUUCGACUAUCCGGUCAAUGUGAGGGAGUGGGAAGCUAUCUUUGGGACAUGCUUUGUUGAGGUCGGUGUCGAUGAUCAUUGAGUUGUUGAGCUCUUCAUUUUCGGUGAGUGUGAGCUGACGGAGGCUUGGGAUGCUGACUUCGGCUGGUGACAUUGCCUCCAUUCCAUGGGAUAGGGAGAAUGGUGUCAUACCCGUGGAACGACGUGGUGUCGUGCGGUGUGACCAGAGAACGCCGUCGAGUUCGUCAGCCCAAACUCCUUUCUUUUCUUCCAGACGUUUUUUGAUUCCGUCGAGGAUUGUCUUGUUUGUGGCCUCAGCUUGCCCGUUUCCCUGGGGGUUCCUUGGUGUAGAUUUACUUAAUCUGAUUUUCCAUAAAGCGCAGAAACUUUCGAAGGUUGCUGAGAUGAAUUGAGAGCCGUUAUCGGUGACGAUUUCGUAUGGGAGACCGUGGCGGCAGAUGAUGUUUUUCCAAACAAAUUUCUGAACGUCAGGGGCGCGGAUGGUUGCGUAUGAUUCGGCCUUGACCCAUUUAGUGAAGUAAUCUGUCAUGACAAGGAGAUAGCGCUUCUGUUUGGAUGGUGGCAUUGGACCAACAAUGUCCAUUGCCCAUCUCAUGAAUGGAUAUGGUGAUGUAGUGGUUGAGAGGAGAUCCGUUGGUAGGUGAAUCAUAGGGGCGUGGCGCUGGCACUUCUCGCACUUAGAUACAAAUUUUUCGCAAUCUGUGACCAUUGUCGGCCAGAAAUGUUCGUGUCGCUUGAUUUUUAUGGCUAGGGCUCGUCCACCUGAAUGAUUACCACCCGCACCUUCGUGUGUCUCUUCGAGGACCCAUCUGACUUCUUGACCAUGUAUGCACCGCAGUAAUGCUUUGGUCGAGCUCCAUCUGAAGAGGGCGUUGUCGUACAUGACAUAAUGUGCGCAUCGAGCCUUCAAGCGUCGUGCAGCCCAGCGGUUGUCUGGUGUUGUUCCCUCGGUAAUGUAGAGUUUUAUUUCGUCGCGCCAAUCGAUAGGAACAGCAACUUCUUCUUCAGGUGUAGGUUCGUCUAUCUCAUUGGUGCCGUCCAUCUCUUCGUCGAGGUCAUCUAUGACGUUAACUCCCAUAGCUAACUCGAUACUUGGUUUAUCGAUGCUUUCCACUGGAAUCAUUCUUCUGAGCGAAGGAUCAGAGGUUGAUGCUAAGGCGGCAAGAGCGUCAACAGAGGAAUUGUCGCUACGAGGAAUCUUGGUGAGGGUGAAGUUGGUGAAAUCUUGGGAAAGUUUUUGGACGACUUGUAAGUAAGCAUUCAUUUGGUCGUUUCUUGUUUCGUAUUCGCCGCUGAAUUGAUUGGUGACAAGCUGAGAGUCGCAGAAAGUUUCUAUCUUGUUCACACCAACCGCCUUUGCAAGAUGGAGACCAGCGAUGAGAGCUUCGUAUUCAGCUUCGUUAUUGGAGGCCGGGAAGGCGAGGCGAAAGGACUGCUCGAUGAUUUCGCUGGUAGGAUAUAUGAGUCGUAUUCCAACACCUGAUCCGUUUCGUGAAGAUGAACCGUCGACGUAGAGACACCAAUUCUUGGUGUUUAGAUCAUUGUCGUAUUCGGAUGGAGGUAGCUCGGUCAGAAAAUCUGCUAAUACCUGAGACUUUGCGCUCGUUCUGCUUUUGAAUUCGAUGUCGUAUUCGCUGAGCUCGACUGCCCAUUUGGCCAUUCGUCCAGAUUGACUUGGGCUGUGGAGUAUCAAUCGAAGCGGAUGGUUAGUCAGGACGUGGAUUGUGUGAGAUUGAAAAUACGGUCUGAGCUUGCGAGCUGCGACAACUACGGCGUAGGCGAGUUUUUCGAGUGGUGAGUAUCGUGUUUCAGCGUUGUCGAGAACCUUGCUGGUGUAGAAGAUUGGACGCUGCUCCCCACGGUCUUCGCGAACCAGAACACUGCUUACAGCGCAUGCGGAGACUGAUAUGUAUAAGUACAAUACUUCUCCGUCUUCGGGUUUGGCCAGAAUCGGUGGUGUGGAUAAAUAUUGCUUCAGCUGUUGAAAGGCUUCUUCGCAUUUCGCGUCCCACUCGAAACGUUUGUUGUGUCGUAGAAGUUGGUAGAAAGGGAGGCAUUUGUCUGUCGAGCGCGAGAUGAAUCGGUUGAGUGCAGCGAUGCGUCCUGUCAAUCGUUGGACUUCUCUCCUGUCUUUUGGAGAUGGGAGUUCCGCAAUGGCUGUGAUUUUUCGUGGAUUUGCUUCGAUUCCUCUCUUGGUGACAAUAUAUCCGAGAAAUUCUCCGGAUGUGACGGCGAAAGUGCAUUUGGCCGGAUUGAGCUUCAUAUUGUAUUUGUUGAGGCUUUCGAAACAAGUCGUUAAAUGUUUGAUGUGAUCGCUGGCAGUGAGGGAUUUGACGAGCAUGUCGUCGAUGUAAACUUCCAUGGUGUCGCCGAGCUGUUCGGCAAACAUUCGGUUCACUAAGCGUUGAUAGGUUGCGCCAGCAUUCUUGAGUCCAAAGGGCAUGACUUUGUAACAGUAUGUUCCUCGAUCGGUGAUGAACGCGGUUUUCUCCCUAUCAUCUGGAUGCAUCAUAAUUUGGUUGUAUCCUGAAAAGGCAUCCAUAAAAGAUAGGAGCUCGUUCCCUGCCGUUGCUUCGACUAUCCGGUCGAUGUGAGGGAGUGGGAAGCUAUCUUUGGGACAUGCUUUGUUGAGGUCGGUGAAGUCGACGCACACGCGCCAUUUUCCAUUUUUCUUUUUGACGACAACAGGGUUAGCGAGCCACUCUGGGUACCUGACUUCUGUGAUGGAUCCUGCGUUUGUCAAACGUUCAACUUCGUCGUUUACGGCCUUGGCGCGCUCCAGGCCGAGCUUGCGCCUUUUUCGCCUGACUGGUUUGAAGAUGGGGUCUACGUUUAGCUCAUGGCAAGUGACAGAUGGGUCGAUCCCGGGCAUGUCCUCGGUUGUCCAGGCGAAGGUUGAAGCGUUGGAUUGAAGGAAGCUGAUAAGUUGGUCUUUGAGAUCGUCUUUUAGGUCUGCUCCGAUUCCGACGCAUCGUUCUGGGUCGCUUUGGUCGAUGUUAACUUGUAUCACCAGUUCCCGGGCGUGGUCGUCUAUUAUUUCUUGCUCAUCGCCUUGCCUAGCUAUUAGACAUGUCCUUGAAGAUUUUCUUAACUUAUGUUCGGUUACGAAGCAUGUGCGCGAGAGACGUUGAUUUCCUUUGAGGGUGUAGGUCCCUGAUGUAGUGGGAAAUUUGAUGCACUGAUGAUAUGUAGAUGGAACUGCUUUCAUUGAAUGUAUCCAUGGGGUGCCGAGUAUGGCGUUGUAAAUGGCAGGGCUCUCGAUAACCACGAAUUUGACGUUUUUGGUGAUUCCUGCUACGUAGACUGGGAGCUUGACUGUUCCGAUUGUCAUUGUUGUAUCUCCGGCGAAACUUGUGAGUGGUCUUUUGCAAGGCUUUAGCUCGUAAUCUUUGACAUCCAUCCGUUGAAGUGUUUUUGAAAAGAUUAAAUCAACUGAACUUCCAGUGUCGACCAGUACGCGUGUGACUUCACAGUCACCUAUCCUGAGUUCAACGACGAGGGGGUCGUUGUGUGGCGUGUCUAGUCCCUUGGUGUCUUCUUCUGUGAAACUGAUUUCAUAGUCAUUCUUUGGUUUAUCGUCGAUGUGACUGAUGCUUCCCCAGCGAGAAAACCAACCGAGGGCGAGUCCGCUCAAAUUUUCCACAAACAAUUGACAGAGACCGACAUCACGUUCUUCUGGUGAGAAAUUGGCUCUCCCGGUUGCGAUACUGAAGGCGGUGAGAUAUUCUCUUGGAUCGGAUGUUCCGUUGUAAGUUGGGAGUUUGAUUUUGUUCUUCUGGUGUCGGACAGGGAUACUAAUGAGGCGAAUUGUAAAAGGUGUAUUUUGGGUUUCACGGAGUACGCGAUCGAUCUCUGGUGCUGCGCUGGUUGCCUGAUGGACUUUGGAGUUCAUGCUUUGCAGCUGAAUCCUCAUUUCUUCAAUGUCGUCGUCUCUCUGUUGGGUUUCCCUGUUGGGGAUCUGCGGGAAACUGGUGUUUUGAAGAUGUUGUUCAUUUAGAUAACUUGGGCGCUGCUGCCUGGAGUCGAUGAUUAGUGUUGAAGAUUCGUUCACAUGAUUCUGAUGUUGUUGUCUGGAAUUUGUGAUUGGUGCACGUAGAUCGUUGGCUUGGAUUGAUUGCUGUUGUCCUGAACCGGUCACUGGUGUUGGUAAAUCGCUGAACAGAACACGCUGGAGUCGUGGAGUGAUAUCAACUUGUUGUGAUUUUGAUGCGUCAAUUUCUACAGACUGGAGUUCGUUGAUGCGGUUAUUGCAAAUAAUCUGAGAAUGCGCGAGGUCGUCCAAGCGAGAGGUCGUUCCUCGAGCGAGCUCGUCGAUCCUACCGAGAAGGGUCUAAAAGAUCAGGGAGAUGUCCGGCUGAGUGGAGUACGUCGUUCUUGUGUUAGGUACUGAGGUCGUCGGUAUGAGAGACGUGGUGUCGGCUGGAUGACGCGAGGUCGUAACUGUUGCUGGUAGGGCCGAGGUCGUCACCAUUGAUGGCGGGGAUGAGGUCGUCGCCACUAUCGUCGAGGUGUUGGCUGGAUGGUCCGAGGUUGCCACCAUGGAUGGUUCGUCCGAGGUCGUCACCACUGGCGUCGAGGUGUUGGCUAGGUGGUCCGAGAUUGUCAUAGCAGCUAAUUGUGUACUCGUCAUUCCAGGAUGGUCGGUGGUUGCAAAAAUCAGGGCGUCUGGUUGCGCUGUGGGUUCUGUGACUGACGAGCUGUCUUGAGGUGAAGAAGAAUCCCCUGCCCCACGGUGGGCGCCAAUUGUUGUUUCCAUAUCCGGUCGGUGAUGUAAUAUUUAUAAAUGAUGUAAAGGGGUGGAGAUUUUCGUAUUAAUAGUCAAGAAUAAACAAGCUCGGUCAAUUACAAGAACUAAAGAUGCUCGUCUAAACAGUUCCUAAACAGUUUGUCUAAACAAGUAUCUUUCUAUUUUAUGGUCUGAGGUCGCCUGGGCCGAGCUCGUCUAGUGGUCGAGGUCGUCCGAAACUUUGUCUGUGAUGAAGAGGCGAUGCUCUCCUUUUCUGUACUUUCUGUACUUUUCUGAACCUCCUUUCAAUGAGUCUGACGUCUUCUAUUUAUAGUG